AGUGUGUUGUGCAAGUUCACUGGUAAUGCAAAACUAGGAACAGUUAUACAAAGAGACUAUGACCAAUCCUUCAAUGAUGAUAAGAAGCUUAUUAAAGUUGUUAUUCCUGAUGAUGAUAUGAGCACUGAUACAUUAAGCACUGGAACAACUACACCAUCACCUACUCCACCUAAUAUACCAACUGUUGAGAUAGCCAUUCCUCAAUGCAUGAGUGUUGAAUUUGCUUCAAUACAAACGUCUUAUGGUCGAAUUGUA